rnacentral:lncRNA from 1 species
CAGGUUCUUAUUCGGUUCCACAUCCAGAGGAACGUGGUAGUGAUCCCCAAGUCUGUGACGCCAGCACGUAUACAGGAGAACAUUCAGGUCUUUGACUUCCAGUUGAGCGACCAGGAGAUGGCCACUAUCCUGAGCUUCAACAGAAACUGGAGGGCCUGCCUGCUGCCUGAUCAACAUGGAAGAGUUUCCCUAUGACGCAGAGUACUGAAGCUGAACCAGCCGGCGAGACUUCUCUUUUGCAGAUGCAUACCUCACUCCUGCAGUCCUCUCAAUCCCAGCCUGCCUGGCAUCAUGGUGUGGGCAAGGCUGUGGUUAAAUCCCCAUGCUGAAUCAGGAACAGACCGUUGCGAGCAGAUGUGACUUGGAGAAGUGAAUGGACAUCUCCUACACUAAUUUGAUCUGAGCAAAUGUUUGUCAAAAACCCGGAGCUCUGGUAACAUUUGAGGGUAUGCAGAUAAAAUAAUAAAGAGUCAUUACAUUAAGAAAAGC